rnacentral:rRNA from 1 species
AACGAACGCUGGCGGCGCGCCUAAUACAUGCAAGUCGAGCGAGAAGACGUAGCAAUACGUUUGUAAAGCGGCGAACGGGUGAGGAAUACAUGGGUAACCUACCCUCGAGUGGGGAAUAACUAGCCGAAAGGUUAGCUAAUACCGCGUACGCUCCUUGGACUUCGGUUCAGGGAGGAAAGCGAUACCGUGGGUAUCGCGCUCUUGGAUGGGCUCAUGUCCUAUCAGCUUGUUGGNGAGGUAACGGCUCACCAAGGCUUCGACGGGUAGCUGGUCUGAGAGGACGAUCAGCCACACUGGCACUGCGACACGGGCCAGACUCCUACGGGAGGCAGCAGUAAGGAAUAUUGCGCAAUGGGCGAAAGCCUGACGCAGCGACGUC